rnacentral:rRNA from 1 species
CAUGGAGGGUGAGAAUCCCGUCCGGCUGACCUUCAGGACGUUUUACGAUACGCUCUCAAAGAGUCGAGUUGUUUGGGAUUGCAGCUCAAAAUGGGAGGUAAAUUUCUCCUAAGGCUAAAUACCGGCGAGAGACCGAUAGCGAACAAGUACCGUGAGGGAAAGAUGAAAAGAAUUUUGAAAAGAAAGUCAAACAGUACGUGAAAUUGUUGAAAGGGAAACGAUUGAAGCCAGUCGUACCGACGGGAAUUCAACUUCUCGAGUGCUAAUCGUGGGUGACGUUGAGCCUCACGGCCUUCGUUGCUUGUGUUGUUGGUGCUUUUGGGGUGUACUUUUCCGUAUUGGUAGGUCAGCAUCGAUUUCGAUCGUCAUAAAAUGAUCGGGGGAAUGUAGCUUCGGUCUCGUAUCGGAGUGUUAUAGACCUUGGUAGAUGUGACGAUUGGGAUCGAGGAUUGCAACGAAUACCCUCUGGGCUAUCCGUCUGACCUCUGAAAGUCGCUCGGGUGUCGAAAGCGUGCUUAUGGCUAUUCGAGUUGGCGGUCAACAGGUUAGAACGUGAUUACAUUCGUUAAGGAUGUUGACGUAAUGG